rnacentral:lncRNA from 1 species
GGGUUUAUUACAAGCUGAAGCCGCGUAUCGAGGCAGCUGGCCACCGGUUCACGGCGCUCAACUUGGCUGCCGCUGGUGUCAAUGAAAAGAAACUGGAGGAGGUUCGUUCAUUGUCUGAAUACACAACGCCUCUGUUGGACUUUUUGGCCUCAGUUCCUGAGAAUGAGAAGGUGAUACUGAUCGGACAUAGUGGUGGCGGAAUGAGCGCCGCCGUGGGCAUGGAGAAGUACCCGGGGAAGAUUGCGGUGGCUGUGUUUUUGAAUGCAAUUAUGCCGGACUCCAAAAACAGCCCCUCCUAUGUUUUGGAGCAG